ACGGGAGGCAGCAGUGGGGAAUAUUGCACAAUGGGGGAAACCCUGAUGCAGCAACGCCGCGUGAGUGAAGAAGGUUUUCGGAUUGUAAAGCUCUGUUAGCAGGGAAGAGGAAGGACGGUACCUGCAGAGGAAGCCACGGCUAACUACGUGCCAGCAGCCGCGGUAAUACGUAGGUGGCAAGCGUUGUUCGGAAUAACUGGGCGUAAAGGAUGCGUAGGCGGUUGAGUAAGUUAUGUGUUAAAUAUAUAGGCUUAACCUGUAGAAAGCACAUAAAACUGUUUAACUAGAGUGCAGGAGAGGUAAGUGGAAUUCCUAGUGUAGCGGUGAAAUGCGUAGAGAUUAGGAAGAACACCAGUGGCGAAGGCGACUUACUGGACUGUAACUGACGCUGAGGCAUGAGAGCAUGGGGAGCAAACAGGAUUAGAUACCCUGGUA
rnacentral:rRNA from 1 species